CGGGACGGGUGAGUAACGCGUGGGUAACCUGCCUCAUACAGGGGGAUAACAGUUAGAAAUGACUGCUAAUACCGCAUAAGGCCACAGCACUGCAUGGUGCAGUGGUAAAAACUCCGGUGGUAUGAGAUGGACCCGCGUCUGAUUAGCCAGUUGGCAGGGUAACGGCCUACCAAAGCGACGAUCAGUAGCCGGCCUGAGAGGGUGAACGGCCACAUUGGGACUGAGACACGGCCCAAACUCCUACGGAAGGCAGCAG
rnacentral:rRNA from 1 species